rnacentral:lncRNA from 1 species
CUCUAACCCUCCCAACUUGUAAUUACCGAAAAACUCCUCAAUUGUGCACUCCAAAACCUCUUGAUUCUUUUCUCCUCUCAUCCUUCUAAAAUUUCGAUCUCCUCUUUGGAUCUUCAAAACUCUGACGAAGAUUGGAAGUGGUUUUUUUGGUGUUUUGAAAUAUUAGGACUUUUGAUAUUUUGAUUUUAUGGUUGAAUCAAGAGAUCUUGGCUGUGCUUCUUGAUCUUCAAUAAUAUGUUCUCUUGGACGAAAAGUGGUUCAACCAACUAAAAAAUAUAUUUGGGAA